CAGCCGCCGCGGUAAAACCAGCACCUCAAGUGGUCAGGAUGAUUAUUGGGCCUAAAGCAUCCGUAGCUCGUUUUGUAAGUUUUCGGUUAAAUCCAUACGCUUAACGUAUGGGCUGCCGGGAAUACUGCAUAACUAGGAAGUGGGAGAGGUAGACGGUACUCGGUAGGAAGGGGUAAAAUCCUUUGAUCUAUUGAUGACCACCUGUGGCGAAGGCGGUCUACCAGAACACGUUCGACGGUGAGGGAUGAAAGCUGGGGGAGCAAACCGGAUUAGAUACCCGGGUAGUCCCAGCUGUAAACUAUGCAAACUCAGUGAUGCAUUGGCUUGUGGCCAAUGCGGUGCUGCAGGGAAGCCGUUAAGUUUGCCGCCUGGGAAGUACGUACGCAAGUAUGAAACUUAAAGGAAUUGGCGGGGGAGCAC
rnacentral:rRNA from 2 species